AUGGGAAACAGGUUAAUAUUCCUGUACUUGGUGUUACUGCGAAGGGGGGACGGAGAAGGCUAUGUUGGCCGGGCGACGGUUGUCCCGGUUUAAGCGUGUAGGCUGGUUUUCCAGGCAAAUCCGGAAAAUCAAGGCUGAGGCGUGAUGACGAGGCACUACGGUGCUGAAGCAACAAAUGCCCUGCUUCCAGGAAAAGCCUCUAAGCAUCAGGUAACAUCAAAUCGUACCCCAAACCGACACAGG
rnacentral:rRNA from 1 species